CAACCCUCAUGAAGUAUCUCGGAGGGACAUCAGGAUCCCGAUUUAACAAAGCCGAGAAGAUCACUCAAGUGACGAAGCUUCUGCAUCAUCCUGGGGAUUCCCAGCGGCAUUUGUAGAGGGGCUGACGUUGUGUUGAGGUCUCCUCGAUAUUCAGCCCUGGCAAUUAUCGGCUCUCUCGAUGGCUAACACGACGGUCUCUAUAUCUUCACAGGCAUUUCAUGGAUUCUCUUGAUGUUCUGACUGAGUAUUAAUAACUCAACUACAUGCUCUGCAGUGCACGUGCGCAUACUGUGUGUGUAUGAUACUGUGAUAAGCGGUACAAGCAGUAUACAGGAUAUUGACGGGUAUUCACCUUGAG